rnacentral:rRNA from 1 species
UACGUAGGGUGCGAGCGUUGUCCGGAAUUACUGGGCGUAAAGAGCUCGUAGGUGGUUUGUCGCGUUGUUCGUGAAAACCGGGGGCUUAACCCUCGGCGUGCGGGCGAUACGGGCAGACUUGAGUACUGCAGGGGAGACUGGAAUUCCUGGUGUAGCGGUGGAAUGCGCAGAUAUCAGGAGGAACACCGGUGGCGAAGGCGGGCUC